UGUCUUACGCGUACAGAGAAAGCUUCUAGAGAUGUUUACUCAGGUAAACCAUACAAGCCUGGGGCUUUCUUCAGAGGAGAAGAUUUUAUAGCAUGUUCCACUUCUUGUUGAGAAAUGGGCGCUUUCAAAAUAUUUAUUUGAUCAGUAUUUAAAUGAGGUAAGUUAACUUCUGCCAGAUAUUUAUCUAUACUUUGGGCAUUGGGUUGAGUUAUUCUGUUAUCAUUUUUCAAAUGAUAUUUCAGUAUUAUAUAACAAAGCUGGAAGUAAUAUUGAGCAAGUGCCUCCGCAAUGCUUCAAAAGUAGCUAAAUUUAAUUUCUGGAGUUUGUCUCUUAAUAACUAAAUUUCUUUACAUUUUGGUUUAGUAGGAUUGAUUUUUUUUUUUUAGAUGUUGGGCAAGAUUGUUCUCUAAUGUUAAUCUUUCCAAUUAUAUUGUUCCUUCUAUAGUAGGACACUUCUUGAAUAAAAAUCCCUGUUAGUGUCGCUUUGUGGGCACACCUUUGAGAACUAAUAGAAAUUUCUUUGGAGGAAUUUAGAUCAAAAUAUUCUUUCAGACAUUUGUGAUAAUAUGCUGUGUCAAAUUAUUUAAUAACGCUUUAUUUAUUUGA